rnacentral:ncRNA from 2 species
GCCUCAUCCAGAGGGGCUGAGGGACACGGCCCGACGACGCCCCGGCAACCACCCCGCGCGAUCACCUAGAGUGACCGGCGGGGCAGGUGCCAAUUCCGGCCCCGCCGCAGAGUGCGACGCGGGGGCAGAUGAGAG